GCCCGGCAAAUACAGGAAUAGCUCAUUCAGUGGAGCAGGAGACUCUUAAUCUCAGGGUUGUGGGUUCAAUCCUCAUGUUGUGCA